rnacentral:rRNA from 1 species
GUGGGCCUGGCGAUGGUCGUCCAGGUUCAAGGGUGUAGGCUGUAAUCUUAGGCAAAUCCGGAUUACACACGGUCGAGACCCGAUGUCGAGCCACCAAGGUGGUGAAGUCAUUGAUGCCAUGCUUCCGGGAAAAGCCUCUAAGCUUCAGGUAAGUAGGAACCGUACUCCAAACCGACACAGGUGGUCGGGUAGAGAAUACCAAGGCGCUUGAGAGAACUCGGGUGAAGGAACUAGGCAAAAUGGUACCGUAACUUCGGGAGAAGGUACGCUGCCCGCGGUGAAGUCCCUUGCGGAUGGAGCUGAGGGCAGUCGCAGAUACCAGGUGGCUGCAACUGUUUAUUAAAAACACAGCACUGUGCAAAAUCGAAAGAUGACGUAUACGGUGUGACGCCUGCCCGGUGCCGGAAGGUUAAUUGAUGUGGUUAUCGCAAGAGAAGCCAUUGAUCGAAGCCCCGGUAAACGGCGGCCGUAACUAUAACGGUCCUAAGGUAGCGAAAUUCCUUGUCGGGUAAGUUCCGACCUGCACGAAUGGCGUAAUGAUGGCCACGCUGUCUCCACCCGAGACUCAGUGAAAUUGAAAUCGCAGUGAAGAUGCUGUGUACCCGCGGCUAGACGGAAAGACCCCGUGAACCUUUACUACAGCUUGGCACUGAACAUUGAGCCUACAUGUGUAGGAUAGGUGGGAGGCUUUGAAACGGCGACGCCAGUUGCCGCGGAGCCAACCUUGAAAUACCACCCUUGUAUGUUUGAUGUUCUAACUUAGCCCCCUUAUCGGGGGUGAGGACAGUGCCUGGUGGGUAGUUUGACUGGGGCGGUCUCCUCCCAAAGUGUAACGGAGGAGCACGAAGGUGGGCUAAUCACGGUCGGACAUCGUGAGGUUAGUGCAAUGGCAUAAGCCGCUUAACUGCGAGAGUGACGGCUCGAGCAGGUACGAAAGUAGGUCAUAGUGAUCCGGUGGUUCUGAAUGGAAGGGCCAUCGCUCAACGGAUAAAAGGUACUCCGGGGAUAACAGGCUGAUACCGCCCAAGAGUUCAUAUCGACGGCGGUGUUUGGCACCUCGAUGUCGGCUCAUCACAUCCUGGGGCUGAAGUCGGUCCCAAGGGUAUGGCUGUUCGCCAUUUAAAGUGGUACGCGAGCUGGGUUUAGAACGUCGUGAGACAGUUCGGUCCCUAUCUGCCGUGGGCGUUGGAUGAUUGAGGGGAGCUGCUCCUAGUACGAGAGGACCGGAGUGGACGAACCGCUGGUGUUCGGGUUGUGUCGCCAGACGCAUUGCCCGGUAGCUAAGUUCGGCACAGAUAAGCGCUGAAAGCAUCUAAGCGCGAAGCUGGCCCCGAGAUGAGUCAUCCCUAGAGCUUUAAGCUCUCUAAAGGGUUGUCGUAGACGACGACGUUGAUAGGCAGGGUGUGUAAGCGCUGUGAGGCGUUGAGCUAACCUGUACUAAUUGCCCGUGCGGCUUAACCAU